rnacentral:rRNA from 1 species
AGAGUUCGAUUAUGGCUCAGGACGAACGCUGGCGGCGCGCCUAACACAUGCAAGUCGAACGGAGCUUAGAGAGCUUGCUUUUUAAGCUUAGUGGCGAACGGGUGAGUAACGCGUGAGUAACCUGCCCUAGAGUGGGGGACAACAGUUGGAAACGACUGCUAAUACCGCAUAAGCCCACGGUACCGCAUGGUACUGAGGGAAAAGGAUUUAUUCGCUUUAGGAUGGACUCGCGUCCAAUUAGCUAGUUGGUGAGGUAACGGCCCACCAAGGCGACGAUUGGUAGCCGGACUGAGAGGUUGAACGGCCACAUUGGGACUGAGACACGGCCCAG